rnacentral:snRNA from 2 species
AGCUUUGCACAACGGCAGUGUCAUAGCCAAUGAGGCUUAUCUGAGGUGCAAUUAUUGCUAAUUGGAAUCUCUUCAUAGAUCAAAGAUAUUUGUGUCUAUCCCUAGUUUGCUAAGAACUUUUAUCGCAAAUGGAUGUUG